rnacentral:rRNA from 1 species
GACGAACGCUGGCGGCGUGCCUAAUACAUGCAAGUCGAACGAGAGCGACCGGUGCUUGCACUGGUCAAUCUAGUGGCGAACGGGUGAGUAAAACGUGGGUAACCUGCUCAUCAGAGGGGGAUAACAUCCGGAAACGGAUGCUAAAACCGCAUAGGUCUUCGAGCCGCAUGGCUUGAAGAGGAAAAGAGGCGCAAGCUUCUGCUGAUGGAUGGACCCGCGGUGCAUUAGCUAGUUGGUGAGGUAACGGCUCACCAAGGCCGUGAUGCAUAGCCGACCUGAGGGGGUGAUCGGCCACAUUGGGACUGAGCCACGGCCCAAACUCCUACGGGGGGCAGCAGUAGGGAAUCUUCCGCAAUGGACGCAGGUCUGACGGAGCAACGCCGCGUGAGUGAAGAAGGUUUUCGGAUCGUAAAACUCUGUUGUUAGAGAAGAACAAGUGCUAGAGUAACUGUUAGCGCCUUGACGGUAUCUAACCAGAAAGCCACGGCUAACUACGUG